AAUAAGGAAACUCAUUCAGCAUACUGAGGUGUUGUUGCUUCCUGUGUUUCAGGAUUUCUUCUUGCAGGAAGAUGGGCCAUGAUUCUGCUCUGCAUUGAACCCUGAGAUCCAACUUCCAAAGCGCAAGGCAUGAUAAGGAAUCCCCGUUGCCUCCUUUAAGAGACAAGAAGACCCACAAAUCCUGUCUCGCUGUUCCUAAGGUAAUGGAAAUCAAACUAACAGUGGUUUAAGCCUGGAUGAAACUGAGCUAUGAUGAAACAUGGCACGAGGUGGUUUGGGAAGGGCUGCACAGGGGAAGAUGGAGCACAGCAACAGUGGGCUGAAGAUCUUGUAAGUCUACAUCCUGUUCCCCAUCUUUUAUAAGAAUAUGUAGUUCUGUCUAGCUCUGUCAUCCUAUUCUCCCAUUUUUUUCUGGGCUUUAUUAAUUUUCUUCAUUAUUUACCAAAAUGCCUCCUCACUG
rnacentral:lncRNA from 1 species